rnacentral:rRNA from 1 species
UGAGGAAUAUUGGUCAAUGGGCGAGAGCCUGAACCAGCCAAGUAGCGUGCAGGAUGACGGCCCUAUGGGUUGUAAACUGCUUUUAUAAGGGAAUAAAGUGGGUCUCGUGAGACUUUUUGCAUGUACCUUAUGAAUAAGGACCGGCUAAUUCCGUGCCAGCAGCCGCGGUAAUACGGAAGGUCCGGGCGUUAUCCGGAUUUAUUGGGUUUAAAGGGAGCGUAGGCCGAAGGUUAAGCGUGUUGUGAAAUGUAGUCGCUCAACGGGUGCACUGCAGCGCGAACUGGCUUUCUUGAGUGCGCGGAAAGUUGGCGGAAUUCGUUGUGUAGCGGUGAAAUGCUUAGAUAUGACGAAGAACUCCGAUUGCGAAGGCAGCUGACUGUAGCGUAACUGACGCUGAUGCUCGAAAGCGU